GGUAUAGGUUUUCGGAUCUAGAGACCGGCGCACGGGUGCGUAACGCGUAUGCAAUCUACCUUUUACAGAGGGAUAGCCCAGAGAAAUUUGGAUUAAUACCUCAUAGUAUUAUGAAAUGGCAUCAUUUUAUAAUUAAAGUCACAACGGUAAAAGAUGAGCAUGCGUCCCAUUAGCUAGUUGGUAAGGUAACGGCUUACCAAGGCAACGAUGGGUAGGGGUCCUGAGAGGGAGAUCCCCCACACUGGUACUGAGACACGGACCAGACUCCUACGGGAGGCAGCAGUGAGGAAUAUUGGACAAUGGGCGCAAGCCUGAUCCAGCCAUGCCGCGUGCAGGAUGACGGUCCUAUGGAUUGUAAACUGCUUUUGUACGAGAAGAAACACUACUUCGUGAAGUAGCUUGACGGUAUCGUAAGAAUAAGGAUCGGCUAACUCCGUGCCAGCAGCCGCGGUAAUACGGAGGAUCCAAGCGUUAUCCGGAAUCAUUGGGUUUAAAGGGUCCGUAGGCGGUUUAGUAAGUCAGUGGUGAAAGCCCAUCGCUCAACGGUGGAACGGCCAUUGAUACUGCUAGACUUGAAUUAUUAGGAAGUAACUAGAAUAUGUAGUGUAGCGGUGAAAUGCUUAGAGAUUACAUGGAAUACCAAUUGCGAAGGCAGGUUACUACUAAUUGAUUGACGCUGAUGG
rnacentral:rRNA from 1 species